UACGAAGGGGGCUAGCGUUGCUCGGAAUUACUGGGCGUAAAGCGCACGUAGGCGGCUUGUUAAGUCGGAGGUGAAAUCCUGGAGCUCAACUCCAGAACUGCCUUCGAUACUGGCGAGCUUGAGUUCGGGAGAGGUGAGUGGAACUGCGAGUGUAGAGGUGAAAUUCGUAGAUAUUCGCAAGAACACCAGUGGCGAAGGCGGCUCACUGGCCCGAUACUGACGCUGAGGUGCGAAAGCGUGGGGAGCAAACAGG
rnacentral:rRNA from 1 species